rnacentral:rRNA from 1 species
AUCGCAAGACCUCGCGCAUUGGAGCGGCCGAUAUCAGAUUAGGUAGUUGGUGGGGUAAAAGCCUACCAAGCCUUCGAUCUGUAGCUGGUCCUGAGAGGACGACCAGCCACACUGGAACUGAGACACGGUCCAGACUCCUACGGGAGGCAGCAGUGGGGAAUUUUGGACAAUGGGCGCAAGCCUGAUCCAGCAAUGCCGCGUGCAGGAUGAAGGCCUUCGGGUUGUAAACUGCUUUUGUACGGAACGAAACGGCUCUUUCUAAUAAAGGGAGCUAAUGACGGUACCGUAAGAAUAAGCACCGGCUAACUACGUG